rnacentral:rRNA from 1 species
CCUACGGGAGGCAGCAGUGGGGGAUAUUGCACAAUGGGGGAAACCCUGAUGCAGCGACGCCGCGUGUGGGAAGAAGGUCCUCUGGAUUGUAAACCACUGUUGCCAGGGACGAAAAUGACGGUACCUGGGGAGGAAGCUCCGGCUAACUACGUGCCAGCAGCCGCGGUAAUAGGUAGGGACCGAGCGUUGUCCGGAAUUACUGGGUGUAAAGGGAGCGUAGGCGGGGAUGCAAGUUGGGUGUCAAAACUACCGGCUCAACUGGUAGUCGCACUCAAAACUGCAGCUCUUGAGUGAAGUAGAGGCAUGCGGAAUUCCUAGUGUAGCGGUGAAAUGCGUAGAUAUUAGGAGGAACACCAGUGGCGAAGGCGGCCUGCUGGGCUUUUACUGACGCUGAGGCUCGAAAGUGUGGGGAGCAAACAGGAUUAGAUACCCUUGUAGUC